rnacentral:rRNA from 1 species
GACGAACGCUGGCGGCGUGCUUAACACAUGCAAGUCGAACGAGUGGCGGACGGGUGAGUAAUGUCUGGGAAACUGACCGAUGGAGGGGGAUAACUACUGGGAACGGUAGCUAAUACCGCAUACCAGCGGAUGUGGCCAGAUGGGAUUGGCGAGUAGGUGGGGUAAAGGCUCACCUAGGCGACGCUCCAUAGCUGGUCUGAGCGGAUGACCAGCAACACUGGAACUAGGACACGGUCCAGCAGCCUACGGGAGGCAGCAGUGGGGAAUAUUGCACAAUGGGGGCAAGACUGAUGCAGCCAUGCCGCGUGUAUGAAGAAGGCCUUCGGGUUGUAAAGUACUUUCAGCGAGGAGGCGUUACUCGCAGAAGAAGCACCGGCUAACUACGUGCCAGCAGCCGCGGUAAUAC